rnacentral:rRNA from 1 species
GACGAACGCUGGCGGCGUGCCUAAUACAUGCAAGUUGAGCGCUGAAGGUUGGUACUUGUACCGGCUGGAUGAGCAGCGAACGGGUGAGUAACGCGUGGGGAAUCUGCCUUUGAGCGGGGGGCAACAUUUGGAAACGAAUGCUAAUACCGCAUAAAAACUUUAAACACAAGUUUUAAGUUUGAAAGAUGCAAUUGCAUCACUCAAAGAUGAUCCCGCGUUGUAUUAGCUAGUUGGUGAGGUAAAGGCUCACCAAGGCGAUGAUACAUAGCCGACCUGAGAGGGUGAUCGGCCACAUUGGGACUGAGACACGGCCCAAACUCCUACGGGAGGCAGCAGUAGGGAAUCUUCGGCAAUGGACGAAAGUCUGACCGAGCAACGCCGCGUGAGUGAAGAAGGUUCUCGGAUCGUAAAACUCUGUUGGUAGAGAAGAACGUUGGUGAGAGUGGAAAGCUCAUCAAGUGACGGUAACUACCCAGAAAGGGACGGCUAACUACGUG